rnacentral:rRNA from 1 species
AUACGUAGGGGGCAAGCGUUGUCCGGAAUUAAUGGGCGUAAAGCGCACGCAGGCUGACUUAUAAGUCGGUAGUCUAAUGCGGAGGCUCAACUUCCGUUUAUCUAUCGAUACUGUAAGACUAGAGUAUGUGAGAGGGAAGUGGAAUUCCCGGUGGAGCGGGGAAAUGCGUAGAUAUCGGGAGGAACACCAGUGGUGAAGGCGACUUCCUGGCACAAUACUGACGCUCAUGUGCGAAAGCUAGGGUAGCGAACGGGAUUAGAUACCCCGGUAGUCCUAGCCGUAAACGAUGGAUACUAGGUGUGGGUGUCGCAGGGCAUCCGUGCCGCAGCUAACGCGUUAAGUAUCCCGCCUGGGGACUACGGUCGCAAGACUGAAACUCAAAUGAAUUGACGGGG